ACGGGUGAGUAAUGUCUGGGGAUCUGCCCGAUAGAGGGGGAUAACCACUGGAAACGGUGGCUAAUACCGCAUAACGUCGCAAGACCAAAGAGGGGGACCUUCGGGCCUCUCACUAUCGGAUGAACCCAGAUGGGAUUAGCUAGUAGGCGGGGUAACGGCCCACCUAGGCGACGAUCCCUAGCUGGUCUGAGAGGAUGACCAGCCACACUGGAACUGAGACACGGUCCAGACUCCUACGGGAGGCAGCAGUGGGGAAUAUUGCACAAUGGGCGCAAGCCUGAUGCAGCCAUGCCGCGUGUAUGAAGAAGGCCUUCGGGUUGUAAAGUACUUUCAGCGGGGAGGAAGGCAGUGAGGUUAAUAACCUUACUGAUUGACGUUACCCGCAGAAGAAGCACCGGCUAACUCCGUGCCAGCAGCCGCGGUAAUACGGAGGGUGCAAGCGUUAAUCGGAAUUACUGGGCGUAAAGCGCACGCAGGCGGUCUGUUAAGUCAGAUGUGAAAUCCCCGGGCUUAACCUGGGAACUGCAUUUGAAACUGGCAGGCUUGAGUCUCGUAGAGGGGGGUAGAAUUCCAGGUGUAGCG
rnacentral:rRNA from 1 species